GAUGAACGCUGGCGGCGUGCCUAAUACAUGCAAGUCGAGCGAACGGACGAGAAGCUUGCUUCUCUGAUGUUAGCGGCGGACGGGUGAGUAACACGUGGAUAACCUACCUAUAAGACUGGGAUAACUUCGGGAAACCGGAGCUAAUACCGGAUAAUAUUUUGAACCGCAUGGUUCAAAAGUGAAAGACGGUCUUGCUGUCACUUAUAGAUGGAUCCGCGCUGCAUUAGCUAGUUGGUAAGGUAACGGCUUACCAAGGCAACGAUGCAUAGCCGACCUGAGAGGGACAACGGACAGCCGGGAAGUGAGAAAGGGUAGAGACUCCGGGGGGAGGAAGCAGUAGGGAAUCUUACGCAAGGGGCGAAAGCGUGACGGAGCAAAGCCGCGGGAGUGAUGAAGGUCUUAGGACGGGAAAACUAUGUUAGUAGGGAAGAACAUAUGUGUAAGUACCUGUGCACAUCUUGACGGUACCUAAUCAGAAAGCCACGGCUAACUACGUG
rnacentral:rRNA from 1 species